rnacentral:tRNA from 2 species
GGAGGGGUUCCCGAGUGGUCAAAGGGAGCAGACUGUAAAUCUGCCGCUUUAUGCUUCGAUGGUUCGAAUCCGUCCCCCUCCACCA